rnacentral:lncRNA from 1 species
AUGCCAGAGACGCUGGUAACCGAAUAUCAAAGUAUUAUGGAUUUGCCUGUAGGAGAGAAUUUCUUUGUCCACUUGGCGGGAAAUACUAACCAGGCUCAUCGUGACUGGGUAUCAAAGUUUGUACAGGCCGGCCACAGAGAGGUGCAGACCUAUGAGACCUGUGACUACUGCCUGGUUUUCUGUCCUGUCACCUCACGGGUGGGAACUGAUGUCGAAGAGGCUCUGAGCAACGCUCCUGCCAACAAACCGGUAAUUCUGGUGGUUAUGCAUCACACCUUCGAUCAGAAUUACACUGUGGCUGAGAGCCGGAGGCUUGUGAGCGAUACAAACGUUCACCUCACAGUGGACUGUCUGUUCUAUGAAAACAGAUUCCUGCAGUGUAACACUAAUGAUAUAGCAUGGCAUGAAAUCCAGAAGCUGUGUCAGUUCUCUCAGAAAUCCAACACAAGCAUCCAGAGUUUUUUGAAGAAGCAUGCAAAGGCCAUCAUUGGUGGUGGUGCUGUUUUAGUCAUGUCUGCAAUCAUCACUGUUAUUUUCAAACUAACUGGAAAGAGAUGGCUGCUGUUAUCAUGGAUGGAAGAGAAAAUAUGUGCAAUUAACAGGAGUAUCAUGAAAGCUGAUGUAAAUGUUUAUGAGUUUCGAAUCAGGGGGAAAUAAUCAAGUUCAUCUAAGUAUUUACUCUUCAUUUCAUUUCUCUCUUUGUCAAAUGAGGGGAGAGACAGAGAAAGAGUGGGGGGCGGAUAAGCGGUAGAAGAUGAACAAAUGAAUGAAUGAAUGAAUGAUUUGAUUUGUGUUUGAUAAUAUUUGUGGUUAAAUGUGUGUAGGGGAGCAGUCUGUACCAUUUUAAAUGAAGAACAAUAACUCUUUGUUGGGGUGCUUUAAUAUAAUGAAUCAUUUAUUAAAACAAAUAAAAACUGAUCAGCCAAAGUCAGCGUAUCAUUUAUCUGUUCUCCUUUCUGAUCCAAGCUAACCUGAGCUCCUGAGCAGAGACUAAAUAAUCUGAGAUCUGCAGACACCGUAUGAAACAAAAGUUUAGUUUAUG